AAACAUUGUUUAUAUAAAUUAUUAUAAAUAUAACCUGCUCAAUGAAAAAUUUUAAAUAGCUGCAAUUUUUGUACUAAGGUAGCAUAAUCAUUUGUUUUUUAAUUUUAAACUAGAAUGAAAGGUAAAACAAAUUAUUUCUUUAUUUUUUAUUUUAUUCCAAUUUAUAUUAAAUAUAAAAAUAUAUUUUUUUAAAAAAAAGACGACAAGACCCUAUUGAACUUUACUUUAGUUAAGCUGGGGAAGCUUAAUAAUAAACAUUUUAUUAAAAAUUUUAUAAAUGACCCAAAACAUUUGAUUAAUUAAUCAAGUUACCAUAGGGAUAACAGCGCAAUAAACUUUUAAAGUUCUUAUCUAAAAAUUUGUUUACGACCUCGAUGUUGAAUUAGAAACCUUUAUUAAGCAAAAAUAAUAAAAGUAGGUCUGUUCGACCUUUAAUAUUCUACAUGAUCUGA
rnacentral:rRNA from 1 species